UUCCUCCGUGGCGCCUUUUGAAGACGGCCCACAGAACAUCCCUCCCCAUUGUGGGAAGUGUAUCAACAUGAUCACUAGGGUGCAGCACACUAUCAUCACCCCCAUCAAGGUGCAACCCCGAAGGUGAGGCCACACGCUGCUUGAACGAAUACGGAGAAUAUGAGCAUGACUACUACUGAUACCCCGAGAGAUCCUACUUUCCCCAAAAGGAUGCAGAAGAUGCCUCCUAAUGUCUGCACGAUCCAAAGAGUCCAGAGCCGGCCCCUCAUUCCAUACCUGUUUGCCACAAUAUCUGAUAGGAUUCCUCCUCCCGGCCUGGAGAAGAGAUUUGCUAAUCCGAAACUGGCUGCUAUUAUCCCCGCAGUGUGGAGGCUCACGUUGAAUCUGUCGUAGAAGUACUGCGCGAUUAUGUUGUCUAUUGUCAGCUCAACACCAAAGCAGUAGCCAUAGGUCAGUGCAAGGAUCCAUCCCCUGUAAUUUGUGACCGCGUGAUAUAAAACCUGCUUGAAACUAUCCUUGUGCUUAUCUCCUGAUUUGUGGAGCUGAGAGUAGUUCCCAUCUGGCAAAUCUUGGCCUAGAAAGAAAAUUCCAUAUGCAGACAGAGUCUGAAACAGGCCAGGGACGAAAAAGGCGAUCCUCCACGCUGUGAACUGUGUCGCGCCUAUACGCUCAAUCAAGUUGAACACCAGAGGCAUGAUCAGCUGAGUUGCUCCACCACCUAAGUUCCCCCACCCUCCGGCCACGCCAUUGGCUGUCCCAACAACUUUGGAUGAGAACAACGAGCUCAUCCAGAACUGCGUUGACACGAAGGUGGCUAGGGAGAAGCCAGUGAAGAAGCGGACAAGGAGGAAGGAGGUUGGAGAAUUGGCAAUGGCAGUGCAGUAAACUGCUGGUGCAGUAAGAAGGGUAAGAGCGGCAGAGGCAAGGCGAGGCCCGAACAGAUCACAUGCUGUCCCCAUGGCAAUCCUGGCAAACACUGCACCGGAAACAGCAGCUAUGCCUGCAUUCCCAAUGUCGGUUGCAGUUAGGCCAAGAUUGUCGCGGAUGACUGGAAGCAGAGGCGGAGCAGCAAAACUAGAGACGAAACAGGCAAAGAAAGAUAUCCACGAGAGAUGAAACGCCCGCAUGUGAGGCGCUGCCACUGAGAACAGCCUGAACUCGGUGGAUUUGUGCUCAGAGUCCACAGGAAGUGCAAACUUCUUUUGACAAGUCUCUUCUGCUCCAUUGGACACCUCCAUUUUGGUAUGAUCGGUUUAGGAUAGUGGGAUCCUUUGCUAUCAAAUAGUUUCUAUAUUUUGGAGGUUAUAGCAAUGAGAUGUUGGGAUUAUAUAGCAUCAAAAUCUUGGUUCUGGCAUGUGAAUCUGCAUUUAGGUGUGGAGACAUUGGCGCUCAAGCUUGGAUUUUUAAUGCCUUGUUGUGUACAAGUUUAAAUCUUUCUAAUGUAGUGGGAAAAGGAUGCUUCAUGCUUGAGUUUGCUAUUGGUUGCAUCCAUUGACUUUGGAGCUUGCUUACUAGGAAUCUAAGAGAUUGAAAGAGAAUAUGGCAAUAUGAUUCUUUGACUUUGUUGGAGAUUCCUUUCUUACAUAGUAAUUUAAUUCUAUUUCAUGUGUUUAAUCACAA